UACGUAGGCAGCAAGCGUUGUUCGGAAUUACUGGGCGUAAAGAGUGUGUAGGCGGUGCUCUAAGUUCGGUGUGAAAUCUCCCGGCUCAACUGGGAGGGUGCGCCGGAAACUGGAAUGCUUGAGCGUGGGAGAGGAAAGCGGAAUUCCUGGUGUAGCGGUGAAAUGCGUAGAUAUCAGGAGGAACACCUGCGGUGUAGACGGCUUUCUGGACCAUUGCUGACGCUGAGACACGAAAGCGUGGGGGAGCAAACAGG
rnacentral:rRNA from 1 species